rnacentral:rRNA from 1 species
UGUAAGCGUAUACCAAAGUUGUUGCAGUUAAAACGCUCGUAGUCGGAAUUUGGCAGUUCCGGAUGUGUGCACGUCGUGUGCGCACUUCGCGGGGAUUGCUUUUGUGGUCUUGCGUAGGAUGAGGCACUUUUAUUAGUGAACGUCCUCACGCAACCACUUUUUACUGUGAGAAAAUCAGAGUGCUCAAAGCAGGCAUUUGCCGUGAAUGUAUUAGCAUGGAAUAAUAGAAUAGGACUUGGUUCUAUUUUGUUGGUUUGUUGGGACUGAGUAAUGAUUAAGAGGGACAGUUGGGGGCAUUUGUAUUUCGGUUCUAGAGGUGAAAUUCUUAGAUUACCGAAAGACAAACUGCUGCGAAAGCGUCUGCCAAGGAUGUUUUCAUUGA